CCUACGGGAGGCAGCAGUGAGGAAUAUUGGACAAUGGAUGGAAAUCUGAUCCAGCCAUGCCGCGUGCAGGAAGACGGCCCUAUGGGUUGUAAACUGCUUUUGUAUGGGAGCAAUAAGGUCUAUGCGUAGACUGAUGAGAGUACCAUACGAAUAAGCAUCGGCUAACUCCGUGCCAGCAGCCGCGGUAAUACGGGGGAUGCAAGCGUUAUCCGGAUUUAUUGGGUUUAAAGGGUGCGUAGGCGGACUAUUAAGUCAGUGGUGAAAUCCUGCAGCUCAACUGUAGAACAGCCAUUGAAACUGAAUAGCUUGAGUAAUCUUGAGGUAGGCGGAAUGUGUAGUGUAGCGGUGAAAUGCUUAGAUAUUACACAGAACACCGAUUGCGAAGGCAGCUUACUAAGGAUUCACUGACGCUGAUGCACGAAAGCGUGGGGAUCAAACAGGAUUAGAUACCCUGGUAGUCCACGCCGUAAACGAUGAUAACUCGCUGUUGGCGAUACACAGUCAGCGGCUUAGCGAAAGCGUUAAGUUAUCCACCUGGGGAGUACGCUCGCAAGAGUGAAACUCAAAGGAAUUGACGGGGGCCCGCACAAGCGGAGGAACAUGUGGUUUAAUUCGAUGAUACGCGAGGAACCUUACCUGGGCUCGAACGUGGAAUGACAGUCGCGGAAACGUGAUCUUCUUCGGACAUUCUACGAGGUGCUGCAUGGUUGUCGUCAGCUCGUGCCGUGAGGUGUCGGGUUAAGUCCCAUAACGAGCGCAACCCCUAUCUUUAGUUGCCAUCAGGUCAAGCUGGGGACUCUAAAGAAACUGCCUACGCAAGUAGUGAGGAAGGCGGGGAUGACGUCAAAUCAGCACGGCCCUUACGUCCAGGGCUACACACGUGCUACAAUGGCCGGUACAGAGGGCAGCUACAUAGUGAUAUGAUGCGAAUCUCAAAAGUCGGUCUCAGUUCGGAUCGGAGUCUGAAACUCGACUUCGUGAAGUUGGAUUCGCUAGUAAUCGCGCAUCAGCCAUGGCGCGGUGAAU
rnacentral:rRNA from 1 species